rnacentral:rRNA from 1 species
AACGAACGCUGGCGGCAUGCCUAACACAUGCAAGUCGAACGAGACCUUCGGGUCUAGUGGCGCACGGGUGCGUAACGCGUGGGAAUCUGCCCUUGGGUUCGGAAUAACAGUUGGAAACGACUGCUAAUACCGGAUGAUGACGUAAGUCCAAAGAUUUAUCGCCCAGGGAUGAGCCCGCGUAGGAUUAGCUAGUUGGUGGGGUAAAGGCCUACCAAGGCGACGAUCCUUAGCUGGGCAGAGAGGAUGAUCAGCCACACUGGGACUGAGACACGGCCCAGACUCCUACGGGAGGCAGCAGUGGGGAAUAUUGGACAAGGGGCGAAAGCCUGAUCCAGCAAUGCCGCGUGAAUGAUGAAGGCCUUAGGGUUGUAAAGCUCUUUUACCCGGGAUGAUAAUGACAGUACCGUGAGAAUAAGCCCCGGCUAACUCCGUG